rnacentral:rRNA from 1 species
AGGACGAACGCUGGCGGCGUGCUUAACACAUGCAAGUCGAGCGAUGAACUCUCUUCGGAGGGGGAUUAGCGGCGAACGGGUGAGUAACACGUGGGCAGCCUGCCCUCAGCUCUGGGAUAACGUCCCGAAAGGGACGCUAAUACCGCAUAACAUCCUGCCUUUGAACAGGCGGUGAUCAAAGCCGGGGAUCGUAAGACCUGGCGCUUGAAGAGGGGCCCGCGUCCGAUUAGCUAGUUGGUGAGGUAACGGCCCACCAAGGCGACGAUCGGUA